UUAGGAAUUUUGGGCAAUGGGCGCAAGCCUGACCCAGCAACGCCGCGUGGGUGACGAAGGCCUUCGGGUUGUAAAGCCCUUUUCUCUGGGAAGAUGAUGACGGUACCCGAGGAAGAAGCACCGGCUAACUACGUGCCAGCAGCCGCGGUAAUACGUAGGGUGCAAGCGUUGCCCGGAUUUAUUGGGCGUAAAGGGCGCGUAGGCGGCUCGACACGUUCGUUGUGAAAUCGCCUGGCUCAACUAGGCGGGGUCAGCGAAUACGGUCGAGCUUGAGCAAGCUAGGGGGCAAUGGAAUUCCCGGUGUAGCGGUGGAAUGCGUAGAUAUCGGGAGGAACACCAGUGGCGAAGGCGGUUGCCUGGGGCUUUGCUGACGCUGAUGCGCGAAAGCGUGGGGAGCGAUC
rnacentral:rRNA from 1 species